UACGUAGGGGGCAAGCGUUACCCGGAUUUACUGGGUGUAAAGGGAGCGUAGACGGCGAUGCAAGUCUGAAGUGAAAGGCGGGGGCCCAACCCCCGGACUGCUUUGGAAACUGUAUGGCUGGAGUGCAGGAGAGGUAAGUGGAAUUCCUAGUGUAGCGGUGAAAUGCGUAGAUAUUAGGAGGAACACCAGUGGCGAAGGCGGCUUACUGGACUGUAACUGACGUUGAGGCUCGAAAGCGUGGGGAGCAAACAGG
rnacentral:rRNA from 1 species